CCGUCGAUUGCUCAGUUGGUAGAGCGGUGGACUGUAGAUCCAUAGGUCGCUGGUUCGAAUCCGGCUCGACGGA
rnacentral:tRNA from 1 species